AAAUAGAGUGGGCUUGCUCUAUUUGAUGGUAAAUAUAGUCUGCAAAACUGAAAGUGCAAUUUUAAACGUGUUGCGAUGUUUAAACCGUGCUUACAUAUUUAUGUACCAGCCGUUAAAUCGAGGACAUUACAAAUUGCAAUUAUUGUUAUUUUAUUGAUUACUGUUUUUAUUUUCAAUAGUUUAAUAUCGCUAACUAUUCUAAACAUGUUUAAUUAUUUAUCGUUCUGAACUGUCAUGUUAUUGAUCUCUUUUGCACAUCCUCUCCAGUUGUACUAAAGUCAAAUUGUUUUCACAAACCAGCGUUGUACGGCAUUAUGUCAGAGGAGCAAGGAAAAGACUCUUCAUUUGAGAUUUCAGAGAAACACAGUGUAAUUUCAGGCUCCCAUAUGUUCAGCUCUGUGUCUUUGAAGAGUGACCAGUCAAUAGAUCCACCAGUGAAUUUCAGUGAGGAACCACCAUUUACCAGAAGGUAUCCCACGUGUUCAGAUUUAUGGCAUUGCAUUACCUAAAUUCUUUAGAGUGUUAUAACAUGACUGAAUAAAAUAAAAUAAUCAAACUCAGUUCUAGAGCUUUUUCCAAAAAUAUACUUGCACAAGUAUGCACUAGGGGCUAUAAACAUGAAAAGAAGCUGGGGCCGCUUGCACCAGUAGUGCUUAGAUAAAACAUAGUCCAUUUGUGACAUAAAGGGACACUAAGUUACAACAAUACACACUAUAAAUAUAUUUUUGUUACAAUACUGAACAUUGAAUGUAACACUGUUCCAACAAUACAUUUAUGGCAGCCUUUACCCAUGUAUAAUGGUAGACGAGAUGACAGUGAGAGUAGAUCACACCAAGAAGCUUGUGAUAAUAAUGAAGAACAAUGUGACUACUCUCAGCCUUUAUGCCCUUCCAAAUCUCACAUUUUUCAGAGUGUGAAAGAAUGGUUUAAUUUUCUUUCAAGGAGUGUUUUGUGUGUAUCCAUCAAUUAAAAUGAGAAUUUCUUCAUGACUGAGUUUAUUUGCCUGUAUUUUUCUCUUUCAUAAACAGUUAAAGUCAGAAUUAUUGACCCCCUUUUCAGCACCAUUUUAAGGACAAAUCUAUUACCCCCUAUUAGGUAUGUUUUGUUUCGAUAGACUAUAAAACAAACCAUCGUUAUACAAUUACUUGCCUAAUUACCCUAAUCUGCCUAGUUACCAUAAUUAACCUAGUUAAGCCUUUAAAUGUCACUUUAAACUGUAUAGAAGUUUCUUGAAAAUAUCUUGUCAAAUAUUAUUUACUGUCAUCAUGGCAAAGAUAAAAUAAAUCAGUUAUUAGAAAUGAGUUAUUAAAACUAUUAUGUUUAGAAACGUGUUGAGAAAAAAUCUUCUCUCCGUUAAAAAGAAAUUGAGGAAAAAAAGUUAAGCGGGCGCUAAUAAUUCUGACUUCAACUAAGCUAUUCAAAUAAUUUCAAGUUUAAUGUUUUGAUAAGUUAAUGUGGAUUUCACAUUCAUUCAUGGCUCACAUUGCAAAUGUGUGCAUCAUCUGUUGUUACCGACAGAUUGUAAUGUACUAUAAAUAUUUAAUUUCUCAUUGGAAAUGUGUGUUCUCGAUGUGUUGUGGUUUGUCUUGUAGCAGUGUAUGUAAAUGCAAAAUUUUAAA
rnacentral:lncRNA from 1 species